GCAAGUAUAGUUUAAUGGUAAAAUAAUAGUCUUCCAAACUACUGUUACGAGUUCAAUUCUCGUUACUUGCU
rnacentral:tRNA from 1 species